rnacentral:rRNA from 1 species
AUGGUUGGACCACUGAGAACAGGCAGAAGCGGCUUCACCCAUGUGCUGGUAGCAGUCGACAAGUUCACCAAGUGGAUUGAGGCUAAACCCAUCAAGAAUCUUGAUGCCGGCACUACUGUCAGCUUCAUCAGGGAGUUGAUAUUCAGAUAUGGAGUUCCACACAACAUCAUCACUGACAAUGGGUCAAACUUCGAUUCCGAGGAAUUCAGAGCCUUCUGCACAUCUCAGGGCACACGAGUCGACCAUGCUUCAGUUGCUCACCCCCAGUCGAAUGGACAGGCAGAACGAGCAAAUGGCUUGAUUCUCAAAGGAUUGAAACCCCGAUUGAUGCGCAAUCUCAAGCACGCUGCUGGUGCAUGGGUCGACGAGCUUCCGUCAGUACUUUGGGGAUUA